rnacentral:tmRNA from 1 species
GGGCCUGAAAUGGUUUCGAUUGUGUAGAAGAAGCUGUGGUCGCGUGCCCAGGUCCUCGGGUUCCUGGUAAAACCCUCGGGAAAAUUUUCAACUGCCAACUCAAACAUGGCCCUCGCAGCGUAACUUCGGUUACAGCUUGUGAGUGCCUGCGAGGAAGCCCGCCCGGGGCGGCCUCGUAGGUAGCGAAAAGCUGGGCUAGUCAUGCGUCGCGCUCUCAGGCACGUGGCGAAAAUUUAGAGAGCUCAUCCGGCGGUGGGUCGUUCACCAGCCAGCCGUCGGAAACAUCAAUCGGUGGACUACGCACGUAGAAGCUGUGGUUGAUCCUAUGCAAGACGCGAGUUCGACUCUCGCCAGGUCCACUU